CCUACGGGAGGCAGCGGUGAGGAAUAUUGGACAAUGGGCGCAAGCCUGAUCCAGCCAUGCCGCGUGCAGGAAGACGGUCCUAUGGAUUGUAAACUGCUUUUAUACAGGAAGAAACACCUCUACGUGUAGAGACUUGACGGUACUGUAUGAAUAAGCAUCGGCUAACUCCGUGCCAGCAGCCGCGGUAAUACGGAGGAUGCAAGCGUUAUCCGGAAUCAUUGGGUUUAAAGGGUCCGUAGGCGGUUUAAUAAGUCAGUGGUGAAAGCCCAUCGCUCAACGAUGGAACGGCCAUUGAUACUGUUAAACUUGAAUUAUUAGGAAGCAAUUAGAAUAUGUAGUGUAGCGGUGAAAUGCUUAGAGAUUACAUGGAAUACCAAUUGCGAAGGCAGGUUACUACUAAUAUAUUGACGCUGAUGGACGAAAGCGUGGGGAGCGAACAGGAUUAGAUACCCUGGUAGUCCACGCCGUAAACGAUGGAUACUAGCUGUUCGGAGCAAUNUNGUGNGAGAGAAGAGAGAGUAUACCACCGUGGUAGGUACGUUCGUUCGAGAAGUUAGAACGACGAAGGAAGUAGACGGACGNGAGAGAGCGACGGACGACGACGAGGGAGGAGGAG
rnacentral:rRNA from 1 species